rnacentral:lncRNA from 1 species
AACAAACCAAAAGUCCGCAGGACAAAACAACAUCAUGAAAACCAUUAAACUGUAUUAUACCAUUGUAUACCUACAAAACAUUUAUAGUGAAUGUAUUUUAGCAAAAUUUAUAAGUGGAUAUGUAUCCAUAAAAAUAAUUAACAUGAUCUGGAAGAUAUUAAAAGUACAAGAUUUUUUGGUCCUGUUUUGCUCACAUUAAAUACGUAGAAUUACUCUUGUACAAAUCAUAUUCUUCAUGUAUACAAGGUUUGAAGAUUGCCCAUAAUCCUAAUCUAAAGCAAAUUAAAAUAACAUACAAUAUGUGGAAUGUAUUAUACUAAUAAGUAAUACUUACGCGAAAUAGGACGCAACUUAAUGACAAGACGUAAACUAACAGUAAUGGAAACAACCAUAUAUCAAACGAAAGUAACAAGCCUUUGCAGAACCUUCAACCCCAAAAAAUAUCUAUUUAGUAAAGUUACAUCCAAUAACUCUCAAACCUAUAAAUAUUUCAAUGUAAUUAUUCACGCUAAGGUGAAUACUAACAAUUAAUAUAAUCAAUAGAAAACAUAUUAACAUAUUUCGAAACUAACUCUAAGGUUCUUCUAUGAAGGUAAACUGAAAGACAAAUAUUCCGAUGCAUAUAUUGUAUUCUUUGAACAACAGGAAGUUGUAGCAUAUAGACAGUGAAGAACGUGAAAAUCGCAAGUAGCGACCAAACUCCGAAUCCUGCUGCUGCUCCCUCAAGCAGUAA